rnacentral:rRNA from 1 species
UACGAAGGGUGCAAGCGUUAAUCGGAAUUACUGGGCGUAAAGCGCGCGUAGGUGGUUCAGUAAGUUGGAAGUGAAAUCCCCGGGCUUAACCUGGGAACUGCUUUCAAAACUGCUGAGCUAGAGUACGGUAGAGGGUGGUGGAAUUUCCUGUGUAGCGGUGAAAUGCGUAGAUAUAGGAAGGAACACCAGUGGCGAAGGCGACCACCUGGACUGAUACUGACACUGAGGUGCGAAAGCGUGGGGAGCAAACAGG